AGAGUUUGAUCCUGGCUCAGGAUGAACGCUAGCGGCAGGCUUAACACAUGCAAGUCGAGGGGGAACAGGAGCUUGCUUCCUUGAGACCGGCGCACGGGUGCGUAACGCGUAUGCAAUCUACCUUGUACAGGGGGAUAGCCCAGAGAAAUUUGGAUUAAUACCCCAUAGUAUUUUUGACCGGCAUCGGUUGAAAUUUAAAGCUUCGGCGGUAAAAGAUGGGCAUGCGUUUUAUUAGUUAGUUGGUAAGGUAACGGCUUACCAAGACUACGAUAGAUAGGGGUCCUGAGAGGGAGAUCCCCCACACUGGUACUGAGACACGGACCAGACUCCUACGGGAGGCAGCAGUGAGGAAUAUUGGGCAAUGGAGGCAACUCUGACCCAGCCAUGCCGCGUGCAGGAAGACUGCCCUAUGGGUUGUAAACUGCUUUUAUACAGGAAGAAACCCACGCUCGUGAGCGUGGCUGACGGUACUGUAAGAAUAAGGACCGGCUAACUCCGUGCCAGCAGCCGCGGUAAUACGGAGGGUCCAAGCGUUAUCCGGAAUCAUUGGGUUUAAAGGGUCCGUAGGCGGGCAAUUAAGUCAGGGGUGAAAUCCCACAGCUCAACUGUGGAACUGCCUUUGAUACUGGUUGUCUUGAGUUAUAGUGAAGUAGAUAGAAUGUGUAGUGUAGCGGUGAAAUGCAUAGAUAUUACACAGAAUACCGAUUGCGAAGGCAGUCUACUAAGUAUGUACUGACGCUGAUGGACGAAAGCGUGGGGAGCGAACAGGAUUAGAUACCCUGGUAGUCCACGCCGUAAACGAUGGAUACUAACUGUUGGGACUUCGGUCUCAGUGGUCAAGCGAAAGUGAUAAGUAUCCCACCUGGGGAGUACGGUCGCAAGAUUGAAACUCAAAGGAAUUGACGGGGGCCCGCACAAGCGGUGGAGCAUGUGGUUUAAUUCGAUGAUACGCGAGGAACCUUACCAGGGCUUAAAUGUAAGUUGCAUUAUUGGGAAACCAGUUUUUCUUCGGACAAUUUACAAGGUGCUGCAUGGUUGUCGUCAGCUCGUGCUGUGAAGUGUCGGGUUAAGUCCCAUAACGAGCGCAACCCCUAUUUCUAGUUGCCAGCGAGUAAUGUCGGGGACUCUAGAGAAACUGCCGGCGUAAGCCGCGAGGAAGGUGGGGAUGACGUCAAAUCAUCACGGCCCUUACGUCCUGGGCUACACACGUGCUACAAUGGUGCGGACAAAGAGCAGCCACUUGGUGACAAGGAGCUAAUCUCAAAACCGCAUCUCAGUUCGGAUUGAAGUCUGCAACUCGACUUCAUGAAGCUGGAAUCGCUAGUAAUCGCGCAUCAGCCAUGGCGCGGUGAAUACGUUCCCGGGCCUUGUACACACCGCCCGUCAAACCAUGGAAGUUGGGGGUACCUGAAGUCGGUAACCAUUUGGAGCCGCCUAGGGUAAAACCAGUAACUAGGGCUAAGUCGUAACAAGGUAACC
rnacentral:rRNA from 1 species